AACGAACGCUGGCGGCAUGCCUAACACAUGCAAGUCGAACGAGACCUUCGGGUCUAGUGGCGCACGGGUGCGUAACGCGUGGGAACCUGCCCUUAGGUUCGGAAUACCUCCCCGAAAGGGGUGCUAAUACCGGUUAAUGUCUUCGGACCAAAGAUUUAUCGCUUUUGGAUGGGCCCGCGUUGGAUUAGCUAGUUGGUAGGGUAAUAGCCUACCAAGGCGACGAUCCAUAGCUGGUCUGAGAGGAUGAUCAGCCACACUGGGACUGAGACACGGCCCAGACUCCUACGGGAGGCAGCAGUGGGGAAUAUUGGACAAUGGGCGAAAGCCUGAUCCAGCAAUGCCGCGUGAGUGAUGAAGGCCUUAGGGUUGUAAAGCUCUUUUACCCGGGAUGAUAAUGACAGUACCGGGAGAAUAAGCUCCGGCUAACUACGUG
rnacentral:rRNA from 1 species